rnacentral:lncRNA from 1 species
UACCCAGACCGACUGUGUCCUGCCCUAGAGUCUAGAGCCGAUCCCACAAUCUUUUCUCAAAUCGGCCGUACGAGAUCGUGUUGGUGAGCCAACGAUCUGGUCCACGCCCGGCCUCUGCCGAUCAGUUAAUUGGUGGUGUAGGUCACAGAUCAACCAUGACUCAUUUCAUUUGGAAGCUACUAGUAGGAAAAGAUAGAGACAUCCCGUACGCGAAUCCUGCUCCGCGCUGCGUCGUCUUCAAGAUCCUCGUGCGCUUGUUGUCAAAGUAAAUGUAUGCGUCCCACACGGCCACAUGCGGCCAAGGUUUUAUAAUGGCGCGCAGAUCUGCAGGAAUUCAAGGACGAGAGCUACCCGAUCCUUCUACCAGUGUUCGUUACCCGACGACGGCACGUCCGGAUCGUCAAGCCGAGCAACGAGCAUCUGCUCCGCUUCAGUGCAGAGUCCAUCUGCGUAAGCAUGGCUUGUUUUUUUGGUUGGUUGGCUUUACACCGAUCAAAUCGGAUCAGGAUACGGAGUAGCAGGAGAGAUCGCCCAAGAUCAGAGCAAUGCAUGCACCAGAAGAGCAGAGUGAGGGGAGGUAAGAUCAGAUGAGAUUUGAUUGGAGAUGAUCCUUCUACUUGUCCUCAUAAUGUGCACUGUAGUAGGAGCACAUCUUUUCCAUUGCCUUUCCUUAAAAGAACACUCAUUAUUUCAUCCAUAUCCACGGUAACUGUACAAGUUCCCGAUCUGACAUUAUUUCCCAUUCCCACAAGCAGAUUGCAUUAGUUGUUGAC